CUCUGACAUAGGUACUAUCAUCAUACCCAUUUCACAGAUGAGGAAAUUGAGGCUUAGGUUAACAGCUCAAGCACAGACAACUAGCAAGCAGUUGAACCAGGACUAGAGAGAACCCAGCCCUGGCUGACCCCAAAGCCAUGUUCCAGGCAUUCCGGAUCACCACCUCCCAGGGUGGGUUAAUGUCCAUGCAGCAGCCCUAAUCGUUCAGGAAAAUCACCAGAAGGUCUUCAGCUCCCCCUGAGUGGGCCAUCCAUCACAUCCUCGGCUCUUCCCAUUGGCCUGUACUGCCUUUACUAACCUGGAAGGAGUGAGGGGCUGCAGCUGUCCCAGAGAGGCAAGCGUUUAUCUGACGGUCUGCGUAUGUGCAUCACAUUCAAAGCUUAAGGACAGCAUUUUUGUCCAACAUUCUCUUAGCCACCAUGAUAUGCCAAACUACAUCAAAGCCUGAAGCUUUGUGAGCAGCCAGCCCAGGACCGGGACCAGGCUUCCUAGCAGAGUUUUCAUUAUCUAUGACCAAGUAGAAGAUAAGUUGGACAGAUGCACCAUUCAGAGGCCAAGUUCUGCACAGCAGUGUUUUUUCUAGAAGUAACAUCUGGCUCUAUGGCCCUUCUUCGCUUGGAGACUCGGCGGCUGUGGACGUGGCUGGCAGCUUGGCUUGCUCCGCAGCUGUGGAGCUGCAUCCCAAGUCGUUUCUGGCAUCAACUGCAGCUGAGCAACAUCUGACUUUGUCCUUCCACAUCCUACCCGGUCCUUUUACAUGAGGCAGACCCCGAGGAGCCAGGGCAAGAUUCUGGAUGGUAUUAGCACUCUGGCCCUGGGCCCUCAGUAGCCAUUGGAAGUGAGACCUGGCUGUGUGGGGACCGGUGUUCAGUACUGUGUUACAGUUUAGGAAAGAGGUUAAUCCCUUCUGUCAGGCAGGACCUGGGGAAAAAAAAUGAGUUUCCGUUCACAGGGGAAAUGAAAUGAAAAACCUUUUUGGCUAGUGGAGACUUUUCUGUCAUGAAGCCUGAAGACAAAGAAUGAGGAGAGAAGCCUAUAAAGAUACUUGUGAGAGAAAGGAGGCCAACAGUCCCUAAGGGUUCCAGAAAUACCUUUGAAUUGGAAGGAUUCUUGUCUGGUAAUUUUUUGAAAAUAAUGUUUUCAUUUUCCAAAUGAUACAUAUUCAUUCAAGAAACUGUAGAAAAAGAAAGAAAAAAAUAAAACAAACCUAAG
rnacentral:lncRNA from 1 species